rnacentral:rRNA from 1 species
UGAACGCUAGCGGCAGGCUUAAUACAUGCAAGUCGUGGGGCAGCAUAAGUAGCAAUACUUGAUGGCGACCGGCAAACGGGUGAGGAACACGUACACAACCUUCCUUCAAGCGGGGAAUAGCCCAGAGAAAUUUAGAUUAAUACCCCAUAAUAUAUUGAUAAGGCAUCUUAUUAAUAUUAAAGCUUCGGCACUUGAUGAUGGGUGUGCGGCUGAUUAGAUAGUUGGCGGGGUAACGGCCCACCAAGUCUACGAUCAGUAGCUGAUGUGAGAGCAUGAUCAGCCACACGGGCACUGAGACACGGGCCCGACUCCUACGGGAGGCAGCAGUAAGGAAUAUUGGACAAUGGACGAAAGUCUGAUCCAGCCAUGCCGCGUGAAGGAUUAAGGUCCUCUGGAUUGUAAACUUCUUUUAUAUGGGACGAAAAAAGGGCAUUCUUGUUCACUUGACGGUACCAUAUGAAUAAGCACCGGCUAACUCCGUG